ACAAGGACUCUGGGGGACAUGUGUAGUUAAUCAAUUUUCACUUCGCGAGAGAAUCUCGAAACACUAAACACGCAUGUCUUGGUGUAAUCUCACGUGUCUGGAUGUAAGAUCUGGCUUUAAUUAUUUGCUUCAGGCAGAAAGUUCUCUCUCAUCCUAAAUGUACAGCAGCCGUUCGACAAACAUCAUUUAGUAAAGAUGGAAGUGUUUUACUUUGUGUUUGCGAUAAUGGUACUAUAUGGAGAUGGGAUGGAUCUCCUUGAACAA